UAUUUUGGCAACUGACAUUAGACCUCACGAACCUGAAUUGUUGAAGAUCAUUACCGUACAAAAUCGCACCUUAGGGAUCGCGCUAUUUCACUGAAUCUAGUCCAAUUAGUAUGAUAUAAGUAUAGCAGAGAAAAAUCACUCACAAUUUCUGCCAAUGACGAAGGUGAUCAAUGGUUUUCUUUAAGAAAUUAUUUAUUUAUUUUUUCAAUUAUUCAUUUAAUUAUUUUAUUAAUUAUUAAUUAUUUAUCCAUAAAUUACAUAACCCUCUGUGUAUCUCUUGCGGCGGGUCUGAGCAUCCCAUUUUCUUUCAAUAUCCCAGAAAAUAACGCGAAUAACCUACUUUGUCUCUCAGAAUCACGAACGGACACGGAAAGUGCUUGCUGCUGAGUUCUCCGUUGCACUAGCUGACAACCAAGCGUUAUAAAAAAACUUGAUUUGACUCCCACGUGCCACAGCGCUGGCGAGGGAAAGCAGUGCUUUAAGGAAAAACAAGAGAAGUUAAUUUCUAUUUUAAUAAGGCUUGUGUUACUCUGGGUUCGAUUCGACACCGUAUCUCCAAUUCCGAAUGACCUUGAUCAUCGACUUGCCUGAAUUAUUCUCGUGUGCCGGCCGGCGAGGAAACAUCUCUGAUCUCAAACUGAUACAAACCGUGAGGCGUGAUGAAGCACUGCUGCACCGAGAAAGAUACGAAGCUGAGUUUCUCGAUGUGAGACCUACAAAUAUUGAAUGCACCGUGUUGCUGACGCUAUAAAAGAUAAGGAAAUAAGUAUAACUAUUGGUACAACAAACGUGAUAAGAGUGUAAAUAAAAAUAUGAUAAAUGUGGGUAACUGGAUAGUUCAUCGUUCAUAUAAUAGGAACUGUGUUGAACUCGUAACUGAUGUCACAGUAGCAGCUGUGCCGCGAUAGAAGUAAGUAGUUUUCUUCCAUGUCUAAGCAUCUUACUUGUGUAAAAAUUAUAUAGUGGAUUACCCAAGUAGCACAGAUUGUAAUUAAUUGCUGUUACAUGGAAAAAUCAUUGAUUUUGUGCCAGAGUGUUGUGUAAGUUGUCUAUUCAUUGAUUGAAGGGGCUCCUUUUAUUGAAAAUUAUUGAAACAAAAUUUAAAUAAUUUGCAAUUUUUUUUGCAUCGCAAACUGCCUAUCUUUUUUCACACAUGGGACGCAUUUCAUUGAUCGUUCAAAAUCAGCAUUUAUUGACCAAAAUAUUUAAAAAUAUUGCAAUUUCAUUGCAUUAAAUUCCAAAAUUAUUUCAACAUUCUCGUUGCACUGUGCUGAUUUGGUAUUUUUGUUCUGAAAAAGUUACUUAACUGUCAGUUCAGACUGAGAUGAUGAGUACUUCCAGCACGCAAGAUAAACCACGAUGCCACUUUGUUUUGAAUACCUACUCUUAAUCUGUUGUGUUGCAAAUGCAUUUAGUUCAGCACAAAAGCAAACUGCAAAUGCGAUUUAAUUUUCUUAAAAAGAGUUAAAGUUAUAGAUAAAUGUUCAUUAAAUUGGAUCUUAAAUGUUAAUUAAAUGGAAUAUUACUAACUGUUGACGCAUUGAGCAGUUUCCAUAGUUCCCAUGGAAUCCGUAGCACUUUGGACGUCUAAAGACAUAUCAAUGUGGUUCAAUUAAGAGAAUGCUCCUCUGAGAGGUCCUUUGCAUUUCAAGCAAUAAAACCAAAUGGUACAAGAUUGCAUGGUUGCUUUCAUGAAAUACUUUUGAUCAAUUACGACUUCAAUAGAAUACAUAUCAGA
rnacentral:lncRNA from 1 species